rnacentral:scRNA from 1 species
CGGUAGACCUACUGGUGGACUCCGGGCUCUCCC